rnacentral:lncRNA from 1 species
CCCACUAACCCCUAACUUUCUUUUCAUAUUUUUAUUACAUAUAAUUUAAAAAGCCAUAUUUAAAAAUCUUAUGAAAUCCUUGUUAUGUUUUCAUAGUUUUUUAAACAAAAAGGGUGCCAAUGUUAAGUGAAAGAAAAAUCUAGAGAGAAUUAUUCCCCGCCAAAUUUUCAACGGCUUAUAUCUCGAUAUCAAGCACAUGGACCUUCCAUUUUUUUCUGCUUAUUUAUAUACUUUCAAUUUUUUUCAAUUUAUAACAGUCUUUUAAGAAGCUUGUUAUUUUUAAACAGAGUAGCGAACAUCCUUAAG